rnacentral:rRNA from 1 species
GACGAACGCUGGCGGCGUGCUUAACACAUGCAAGUCGAACGGAGUGGCAAACGGGUGAGUAACACGUAAACAACCUGCCUUCAGGAUGGGGACAACAGACGGAAACGACUGCUAAUACCGAAUACCUGAAGAGGGGUUUGCGUCUGAUUAGGCAGUUGGUGGGGUAACGGCCCACCAAACCAACGAUCAGUAGGCGGUCUGGGAGGAUGGACGGCCACACUGGAACUGAGACACGGGCCAGACGCCUACGGGGGGCAGCAGGGGGGAAUCUUCCGACAUGGACGAAAGUCUGACGGAGCAACGGCGCGUGAAUUGAGACGGCCUUCGGGUUGUAAAGCUCUGGUAUCCGGGGCGCGGUACCGGAAAAGCAAGCCACGGCUAACUACGUGCCAGCAGCCGCGGUAAUAC